AUUGAACGCUGGCGGCAGGCCUAACACAUGCAAGUCGAGCGGAUGAAGGGAGCUUGCUCCUGGAUUCAGCGGCGGACGGGUGAGUAAUGCCUAGGAAUCUGCCUGGUAGUGGGGGAUAACGUCCGGAAACGGGCGCUAAUACCGCAUACGUCCUGAGGGAGAAAGUGGGGGAUCUUCGGACCUCACGCUAUCAGAUGAGCCUAGGUCGGAUUAGCUAGUUGGUGGGGUAAAGGCCUACCAAGGCGACGAUCCGUAACUGGUCUGAGAGGGUGAUCAGUCACACUGGAACUGAGACACGGUCCAGACUCCUACGGGAGGCAGCAGUGGGGAAUAUUGGGCAAUGGGCGAAAGCCUGAUCCAGCCAUGCCGCGUGAGUGAAGAAGGUCUUCGGAUUGUAAAGCACUUUAAGUUGGGAAGAAGGGCAGUAAGUUAAUACCUUGCUGUUUUGACGUUACCAACAGAAUAAGCACCGGCUAACUUCGUG
rnacentral:rRNA from 1 species